UUUUGUAUAACUUUUUCAUUUCAAUUUUGUAAAACUUUAUAUUGACUUUUUUUUUUCUUCAGUUUAUUUUAUUUUAAAAUCUUUUGACAUAUUAAAAGAUUUGAAUCAAAGGACACUCCAAUCAUAUAUAAGAUUUAACCAAUUCAACCAUUGAUUUUUUCUUAUUAAAAACUCCCAUAAUUAUUUCAUUAGGUUAAUA
rnacentral:lncRNA from 1 species